GGACCGGAGUGGACGCACCACUGGUGUUCCGGUUGUGUCGCCAGACGCAUUGCCGGGUAGCUAAGUGCGGAAGAGAUAAGUGCUGAAAGCAUCUAAGCACGAAACUUGCCAAGAGAUGAGUUCUCCCAGAUUUAAAAUCUGUAAGGGUUGUUUAAGACUAAGACGUAGAUAGGUCUGGUGUGUAAGCGGUGCGAGCCGUUGAGCUAACAGAUACUAAUUGCCCGAGAGGCUUAACUAUACAACGCUCAAGGGUUUUG
rnacentral:rRNA from 1 species